rnacentral:lncRNA from 1 species
UAUAAGUAGUAAAAAAGCAGUAAAGAACUAUGAGUACCUAUGGAGCACUCCUUUUGUGAUUAAAAAAUUAUAAUGUUUGAUUGUGAGUAAAUAGGACUGCUUUAUAGUGCUGGAAGUUGACUGUGGAGUAUGCUCCGUCCGGGGCGGUGAUAUUGUAAAAUUUUUAGAUUACUUUAGCUGAGCCAGCUAUUUGAACAUGCACCAUAUUGAAGAACUUUUUAGUAAAACUUCUAUUAAGUUAGCCAAAACGAAGGAGACAUGGGAGUUCCUGAACCAAUGCAAGUUGAAUGGAGUUUUACCCAAAUCCAUUUACAAUAUUAAGUUACCCAUUAAAUCAAGGAAAAUAUUAAACAAUACUAAAAGAACGUGCCUUAAAGUAACAUUACCUGAUGUGAAGAGAAAGAUGUAUAACCUGAGCCAAACCAAGGGAGAUUGAUAUCAGAAAUCAAGUCCCUUAACGUCCCUAACAAGGAUGAAGCAAGGGAGGAAUUAGAGAUGAAACAACACAAACUGGAAGCCUAAACACAUCAAGAUGAUGAGAUGGUUAAUAAGGAACCAGCAUUUUGCCUCAGUUCUUUAUAGACAUACUAUUGAAAGGCCCAUCUUGCACAGUAGUAACUUUACGCAGCUAUGAUGACCUAAUCCAACCAUUUGAAAAAUUUAUUAUCUGACCUAGACGAUUUAGACAAGGAAAGGGCUAGCUGGAGAUUUGUGGAGGAACUAAAGAGCUCUAAUAGAAAGAACAGGGAAGUGAUAGCUCAGACAAGAAGCCAACAAGCUCUAUUUAAUAAAGUGCAUGAGUGGAUACGCAACAAUGAUAUAGUGGUAACUAGGGAUGAUAAGUCCAGGAAAGUAGUAAUCCUUAAGAAAGCCACAUAUGAUGAGCAAUUCAGCAGUUAUUUUGCGUUUCUGUUUGUGUGUGUGAUUUUGUUUAGGUUUGCAUUUCUGUUUGUGUCUCUGUGGUUGGUUCUGUGUGUUUUGCUUGUUUUUGUUUUGGUUUGUUCUGUGUUUGUGUUUUGCUUGUUUUUGUUUUGGUUUGUUCUGUGUUUGUGUUUUGCUUGUUUUUGUUUU